CUGUGUAGUCUCGGAACAGACCGCAAGUGAAAGCCAGGACAAACAGGGCUAGAGCCGGCCACCAGGACCGUGUGCUCUGAACGGUGGCUCCGGGCUGCGGCUGCGCGGAGAAGGCUGCAUGCUUAGGAGGCAAGUGUUGUGGCCGUGAAUGUGCUGAGCAGGGAGAGGGACUCAAGUACUGGGAGACGUGGCCGCGUCCUGAGGGACUCACGGUGUAGGAGGGCAAACGCGACAGCCAGAGAAACAACUGUCCUCUCAGUUACGCCGUGUGAAAAGCCGCCCUGUGUCCCGGGGCUGUCCCCAGACCAGGCCUAGUGCACCAUGGGCUGGUCCCUGCACAUCUCCAGAGCUCCCGGGGUCCAUGGCAGGCGCAGACACAAUCAUGGGCUGUGGACGGCACACGGAGCUGGUUCAGAGGCCGCAGUGCAUUCCUGCUCAGGCUGGGAGAAGGCAUAAAAAUUGGACCCUGGUGGAGGCCGGCUCUGGGUGUUGGAUGAGCCUCUGACAGAAGACAUGAAUCUUGGCCCUGAGUUCCAGUGAAGGAUGGUGGGGCUGACAAGCCGACAUCAAACACGCCUCCGUUCUAGGGGAGCCAUCACUCACCCCUGAGGCCUGGUGGCACAUGCUAA
rnacentral:lncRNA from 1 species